AGUGAACGCUGGCGGCAGGCCUAACACAUGCAAGUCGAGCGGCAGCGCGGGGCAACCUGGCGGCGAGCGGCGGACGGGUGAGGAAUACAUCGGAAUCUACCUUCUUGUGGGGGAUAACGUAGGGAAACUUACGCUAAUACCGCAUGAGACCUAAGGGUGAAAGCAGGGGACCGCAAGGCCUUGCGCGAGAAGAUGAGCCG
rnacentral:rRNA from 1 species